rnacentral:rRNA from 1 species
UACGAAGGGGGCUAGCGUUGUUCGGAUUUACUGGGCGUAAAGCGCGCGUAGGCGGAUCACUAAGUUAGAGGUGAAAUCCCGAGGCUUAACCCUGGAAUUGCUUUUGAAACUGCUAGACUAGAAUCCGAGAGAGGAUGGUGGAAUUCCCAGUGUAGAGGUGAAAUUCGUAGAUAUUGGGAAGAACACCGGUGGCGAAGGCGGCCAUCUGGACCGUUACUGACGCUGAGGUGCGAAAGCGUGGGGAGCAAACAGG